GAUGAACGCUGGCGGCGUGCCUAAUACAUGCAAGUCGAGCGAACGGACGAGAAGCUUGCUUCUCUGAUGUUAGCGGCGGACGGGUGAGUAACACGUGGAUAACCUACCUAUAAGACUGGGAUAACUUCGGGAAACCGGAGCUAAUACCGGAUAAUAUUUUGAACCGCAUGGUUCAAAAGUGAAAGACGGUCUUGCUGUCACUUGUAGAUGUAUCCGCGCUGCAUUAGCUAGUUGGUAAGGUAACGGCUUACCAAGGCAACGAUGCAUAGCCGACCUGAGAGGGUGAUCGGCCACACUGGAAGUGAGACACGGUCCAGACUCCUACGGGAGGCACCAGUAGGGAAGCUUGCGCAAUGGGCGAAAGCCUGACGGAGCAACGCCGCGUGAGUGAUGAAGGUCUUCGGAUCGUAAAACUCUGUUAUUAGGGAAGAACAUAUGUGUAAGUAACUGUGCACAUCUUGACGGUACCUAAUCAGAAAGCCACGGCUAACUACGUG
rnacentral:rRNA from 1 species